rnacentral:lncRNA from 10 species
CUCUGCUCUGGGUCAGGGAGCAUGUCCCUGAGGAAAUGGGCGGGGGCUGAGGCUUGGUGAGUGAGGCGGAAUACUCAAGCCUGGUGCCGGGGAGGAGAGCCUGGCAGACAGAGCUCUGGGCCUGACCUUUGCUUCAUUCUUCAUGGCUGCCAAGUGAGAGUGUGGCCCCUGCAGAUGGUUGGAUCAUCCAUCCAGUUCUUUGCUUCCUCUAGCUGAUAUCCUUCUUUGCUGUACUAUAUGGGAAAAGCAAGAAAUAUUUGACACCAAAAUUGCUUCCUUUGUGUGGCCCCGUAUUGCCCUGUAUAGAAGCAUUUCGUCUUCACAACAACUCUAUGAGGACCAAUGAUGCCUAUUGAAAUCAAAGACUCUGAAAAGUCCUGCAGUAAAGGAAGCUAUUUAAAUUUGUUUAAACAAUUGCUUCUCAAACUUUUUGACUAUGGAAUAUCUCCCCACUUAUGAAUAUCUCAAAGAACACACUGGAAGGUACUACUGGAAGUGAAGCAUAUGCGUCAGACGUGAAUGUGUGCUUAUUUACCAG